rnacentral:lncRNA from 1 species
UUGGCUUCCUCAACCUCCUUCUACACAACCGGAUCCUCUAUACAAAAAUUGCAACAACACAGUGUGCAAAGUGCCUCUGGCUCUCAGAAUCUGCGUUGGUGGGCAAAGAGCUAUGGCCCAUGUGGCAUUAGCAAGGAGCAAAGCGAACACCAUGGCCAUUUCAGAUAUCUUCAGCAAGAUGUCUUUGUAAUGGUAAAAAAAUAGGAAUCCUUAGAGAAUCCUAAUUAUGGGAAACAAUUAUUCAGACAAGUUGCUCUUCAUUUAAACUAUCAGAAUACCAAUGUGAAGAAAACGUAAUACUUCCAGUCUCUACCAGUUGAGGGAAUGGGCAAUCUUAAGGCUGACUGCCAAGAGCACAGGCCAGCUGUUUCAAGAUUUAAUUAAAACAGUUUUGAUAAUUAGCAUAACUUGUUUAUGAAUGUGAAAAUAUUUCUUAUGUGAAUAUAUAGGUCACCUUGUCAGUUAUGAGGGGGGGCAGAAAUCCUACAACAUAUGGAGCUGUGAACCAAUUAUUUUAAAAAACCCAAUUUGGAAUUGCUCUUGAACUAUCCUCCAUCCUAUCACCCCCAUAAAAACAAUAAAAAUAAAACCAAAUGUGCAUGUACCCCUCCAACCUGGUUUCUGCAUCUAUUUUAAGAGGCAAAUGACAUUAUACUUUGAAGUUCUAUUGGUUGAAAUGAAUAGAAAUGAACCCAAACCAGUUUAAGCGGUGGAUGUCUACAGAGUGGUUCCAUUGAUUUUAAUAACCUGUGUUAGGAUCACAGUUCUGCUAUUUUCUAGCUCUGACUCUUAGUAAUCUUUCUUAAUAUUGUCAUAUUUUUGCUUUUAUUUACUAAAAAAAAUAACAAAUCACCCAGAUAAUGUCCCCUCAGAAUUUUAUUCUGAAAGAUCCAUUGCUUCCCAGUGAUAUUUUUAGUACAAAUUUAGUAUUAUAACUGUUCUAAAAGUGUUACAUUUGGAAAGAAGAGGAGAAAAAGGAGGAGGAGGAGUUAAGAAUGUUCCACCUGCCUUUUACUGCCCAGUACCUCGAACAGUCUUGCCCUAAUUAAUCAAUAAAAUGCCAGCAAUAGUCUUUCCGCUAUCUUCUUCAAAUCCUUUCUGGUGUCUGUCACCCACUGCGCCAGGCAUACUCCUUUCUGCACACUUCCCUCACUGGCUGCACAGUCUGAUCAUCCUGUGUCUUGCUCUUUCCUCAAGCUAAGGGUUCAUCCCUCUGUUUGCCCAUUCUUUGUGGCAGAGCCCAGCAUGAGGUCCUUGGGCCUCUCCCUGUUCAUUGUGAAUGCUCUGCCUGGUGAUCUGUCACUUUGACCUAGAAUUCGCCCCUACAUUCCAAGCCUACUCAUCCAGAUACCUCCUGGCCAUCUCCACUUCAUGCAUACAGUACAUAGCAACCACUUCAGAACUUAGCAUGUCCACAGUGGAAAUCACAGCCUCAUCUCUCAUAAUUGCCCUCCACCUUCUAGCCUAAACCUCAGCCACCCUGAACCCUGCAGUUCCCCAGUGGCAACACUCACAAACAUUUCCAUCUUUACUCUCCUGGCCUCUGCCUGGGACUCUCUGCCUUCUUCAAGGGAGCCUAACUUCCUGAGGUAGGCCUCCUUCUUGGAAGUCAGUGUGUUCACCACUAUAACACCAACACACACAGGCAUCCUUCUUGUACCUGCCCCAAAUUUGAGUUUCCCUUUUAUAAUGUCUAAUUCAUCAUAACACUAUCUUAUAAAAAUCCAUUUAGUUUUUCUUUCUAGAAUUUUUACAUUUUAAGAAUGGUUAUGUGCCACCAAUUACUGACUGUGGCUAGGCUAUGCCUGAUAAAUUUACUGGUGCUCUUUAGAGCCAUCCUAAAUCGGCCUGGUCAAUAAAGGACUGCUUGCUACUGGCCACAGGAAGGAAAACAGACCUGAGCCUUUUGCAGGAAGAUAGAAUCAGAAACCCAUUUAUUCAUUUCACUCUUGACAUAUAUUUACUGAGAAUCUCCUAGGUGUUCAAUAAUGUGCACUCUAUUAGGAAUUUGGAAUUUAAUAAUGAAAAAGGUAGCCUUAGUACUUUCUCUCAUGGACCUUGCAGUCUAGUGGAGAAGAGAAAUGAUAAGGAGAUUAACACAUUGUUUUGUAACCAUAGACUAUAAUAAGCACCACAUCAGAGAAUGUUCGUUGUCUCUGGAUGAGUUCCUUGUAGCCUCAGGUUCAUACUGUGUUUCAUCUUAGUGAUUUUCUCACUGGUGAAGGCACUGGACACUGCUUGGAAAGAUUCCAAAGAAAAUCCACAAGAGAGUAUGACAGCCAGGAGCCUCCUGGUUGUGAUGUGAAAACUCUGGAGCCUGGCUCUUCCUGAAGCUGCUUUGCAGAACUUGCUUCUCACUAACAUGACUGUCCCGAGAAACACUAAAUUCCAACUAAGUAGGCUGCAUGCC